rnacentral:rRNA from 1 species
UUUGCAUAUCCCAANAGCGGAGGAAAGGAAACCAACAGGGAUUGCCUUAGUAGCGGCGAGUGAAGCGGCAAAAGCUCAAAUUUGAAAUCUGGCACCUUCGGUGUCCGAGUUGUAAUUUGAAGAUUGUAACCUUGGGGUUGGCUCUUGUCUAUGUUUCUUGGAACAGGACGUCACAGAGGGUGAGAAUCCCGUGCGAUGAGAUGCCCAAUCCUAUGUAAGGUGCUUUCGAAGAGUCGAGUUGUUUGGGAAUGCAGCUCUAAGUGGGUGGUAAAUUCCAUCUAAAGCUAAAUAUUGGCGAGAGACCGAUAGCGAACAAGUACAGUGAUGGAAAGAUGAAAAGAACUUUGAAAAGAGAGUGAAAAAGUACGUGAAAUUGUUGAAAGGGAAGGGUUUGAGAUCAGACUCGAUAUUUUGUGAGCCUUGCCUUCGUGGCGGGGUGACCCGCAGCUUAUCGGGCCAGCAUCGGUUUGGGCGGUAGGAUAAUGGCGUAGGAAUGUGACUUUGCUUCGGUGAAGUGUUAUAGCCUGCGUUGAUGCUGCCUGCCUAGACCGAGGACUGCGAUUUUAUCAAGGAUGCUGGCAUAAUGAUCCCAAACCGCCCGUCUUGACCACCGGACCA